AUAAAACAAGAAAUAAAAGAGAAAGAAACAGAAUUGAAAAACGAAAGAGGAGAAAGGAGAAAGAAAAGAAAAAAAGGAGAAUUGGGGUUUUGAAGUUCCAAGCUCAAUUGCUAAUGUCGUGCAAGAGUCAUUGUCCAAGAAAGGAAAGGAGAAGGUGAACAAGGAGUGACUCGAGAGAAAUUUCGGUUAGUAGAAAGCCAGUAUCUGGUCCAGCAUCCAGAGCAAUCCCGACCUCAGGGAAAUUUUAGUGAUGUACCUUUGUUUUGAUAAUGUGGCAUGUACCUAGGUGAUGUAUAGGUUAAGUAUAAGAGUUUUGUUAUUACGGUUGUAGAAUGAUGUUUAAAUUGGUUAUAAGUAUGAAAUGGAACUAAAAUGACAUAAUUUAUACAAA